rnacentral:rRNA from 1 species
CCUACGGGUGGCAGCAGUGAGGAAUAUUGGGCAAUGGAGGCAACUCUGACCCAGCAACACCGCGUGAAGGAUGACGGUCCUAGGAUUUGAAAGUUCUUUUCUUAGGGAAGAAGAAAGUGACGGUACCUUAGGAAUAAGACUCCGCUAACUACGUGCCAGCAGCCACGGUACUACGGAGGAGGCAGUCGUUAGCCGGAAUGACGCGGCGUAAAGGGUGCGUAGGUGGUUAGGCAAGUUAGUCGGGUAACUCCGGUGCAGAACCCGGGUACGACUACUAAAACUGUUGGACUUGAGUGGAGGAGGGGUAAGUGGAAUGCCUGGUGUAGCGGUGGAAUGCGUAGAGAUUAGGCGGAACACCGAUGGCGAAGGCGAGUUGCUGGACUGUAACUGACGCUGAGGCACGAAAGCGUGGGGAGCAAACAGGAUUAGAUACCCGAGUAGUC